rnacentral:rRNA from 1 species
UGCGUAGGCGGUGCGGUAAGUCUUCUGUGAAACCUCCGGGCUUAACUCGGAGCCUGCAGGGGAAACUGCCGUGCUGGAGUAUGGGAGAGGUGAGUGGAAUUCCCGGUGUAGCGGUGAAAUGCGUAGAUAUCAGGAGGAACACCUGUGGCGAAAGCGGCUCACUGGACCAUUACUGACGCUGAUGCACGAAAGCUAGGGGAGCAAACAGGAUUAGAUACCCUGGUAGUCCUAGCCCUAAACGAUGAUCGCUUGGUGUGACAGGUACCCAAUCCUGUCGUGCCGGAGCUAACGCGUUAAGCGAUCCGCCUGGGGAGUACGGUCGCAAGGCUGAA